UACGUAGGGGGCAAGCGUUGUCCGGAUUUAUUGGGCGUAAAGCGCUCGCAGGUGGUCCGUCGCGUCGUGCGUGAAAGACCCCGGCUCAACUGGGGAGGGUCGUGCGAUACGGGCGGACUGGAGGCCAGUAGGGGGAUGCGGAAUUCCGGGUGUAGGUGGUGGAAUGCGUAGAGAUCCGGAGGAACACCAGCGGCGAAGGCGGCAUCCUGGACUGGUCCUGACACUCGAGGAGCGAAAGCGUGGGGAGCGAGUACGGAUUGAGAA
rnacentral:rRNA from 1 species